UGUUUCCAUUGCACGGGUCCACCACCGAUUUUCUGACACCCUUGGUUCCAGGGCCUUUUUGGAUUUU